AAAAUGGUGCCAGUUGUGAUUACGGUUUGAGAGGUCUACCCAACUCUUUUUCUCCUCGUAGUGAUGGAUACAGCUUGACUGAUAUUGUGAAAAAAGAGUCACACACGACACAGACUAUGACGACAUUUACCACGACUACAGCUUUGACAGUUAGCACGGCCCAUACU